ACUUGGGGGAAAAACUUUGUAAUUCCCCUCUGUACCUUUAAUUGACAUACACCCCA
rnacentral:tRNA from 1 species